AACGAACGCUGGCGGCAUGCCUAACACAUGCAAGUCGAACGAGACCUUCGGGCCUAGUGGCGCACGGGUGCGUAACGCGUGGGAACCUGCCCUUAGGUUCGGAAUAACUCCCCGAAAGGGGUGCUAAUACCGGAUAACGUCUUCGGACCAAAGAUUUAUCGCCUUUGGAUGGGCCCGCGUUGGAUUAGCUAGUUGGUAGGGUAAAAGCCUACCAAGGCGACGAUCCAUAGCUGGUCUGAGAGGAUGAUCAGCCACACUGGGACUGAGACACGGCCCAGACUCCUACGGGAGGCAGCAGUGGGGAAUAUGGGACAAUGGGCGAAAGCCUGAUCCAGCAAGGCCGCGUGAGUGAUGAAGGCCUUAGGGUGGUAAAGCUCUUUUACCCGGGAUGAUAAUGACAGGACCGGGAGAAUAAGCUCCGGCUAACUCCGU
rnacentral:rRNA from 1 species